UACCUGGUUGAUCCUGCCAGUAGUCAUAUGCUUGUCUCAAAGCUUAAGCCAUGCAAGUGUAAGUUCACGCCACGCAUUAGAACGGGCGAAACCGCGAAUGGCUCAGGAACCGGACCUAAUCCUCGGGACCGUAAUCCUCCUCGGAGGCGAUGGAUAACUGUGGCAAUUCUAGAGCUAAUACAUGUGACACAGGCCGCGAUCGGUCGGCGCGUCGCCGUCGCCUGCGUGCCGUCACGCGCGUGGGCACCCGCGUCGACCGUUACGGGUCGCGGCGCUACAUAUUAGACUGAGACCGAUGCGCGUCAUUCCGUCCUCUCGUCGUGGUCGUCGUUGUCGUCACUGUCGCCUUGAGCGGCGGUCGGCGGCGGCGUUUCGCGGCGGGGCCAAAGGGCGGCGCGCUCCGCUUUGGUGACUCUGGAUAACUCACUGGUCGAUCGCACUGGCUUUCACGCCUGGCGACGGGUCUCUCGAGGGUCCGCCCUAUCAACUGUCGACGGUCGGUUAAGUGCCUACCGUGGUUACUACGGGUAACGGGGAAUCGGGGUUCGAUUCCGGAGAGGGAGCAUGCGAAACGGCUACCACAUCCAAGGAAGGCAGCAGGCGCGCAAAUUACCCACUCCCGGCACGGGGAGGUAGUGACGAAAAAUAACGACGCGGGACUCUGUCGAGGCCCCGCGAUCGGAAUGAGUACACUUCAAAUCCGUUAACGAGGACCAACCGGAGGGCAAGUCUGGUGCCAGCAGCCGCGGUAAUUCCAGCUCCGGUAGCGUAUAUUAAAGUUGUUGCGGUUAAAAAGCUCGUAGUCCGAACUCGGGUUCGUGGUCGCGUUCGCGGCCCCGGGGGGCGGCGGCGCCAUCGUCCGUCGUUGACUUUGGUCGUCCGUGCGCAUUCCCGGCCCUUUCCGCCGGUGUCAACCGCUUGCACAUCCGCCACGCGGUCCUGCCGGCGAAGUUACGCGGGGAGUAGUAGGUGUUUCCGGCGGGUUUGCCGCGGAGGUUGCGUGGGGGGUUCCUGCGAGCGUCGCCGUCUGCGGUGCAGCGGCGCCGGGGUCGUUCCGGCGCGCGCGGUCAAAAGGCGGUGCGGUCCAACGCGGCGUUUCUCCCUGUCGGCGGCGGCCGGCCGGCGGCGUUCACUCGUCGUCUGCGUCGCCGUCGUCGCCUAAAAAGGGCGUGCGUCGCGUCGCUCCGUCUCGCGUUGUCGCCGCGGGCUUCCCUGCCGCUGUUCUUUCCGCGCGGCGGUGGCCUCCUCUUCCCCUCUCGUCCUCCAGUCUACCCUCGGGCCCUGCUCUACCUACCUCCGCGUCUAAUCUUCGCGUCUGUUUUGCGCGCGUGCGCGGUCGGCGGUUUCUCCUCCAAGGGUGCUCUUGACCGAGUGUCCGCGGCGGCCGGUACGUUCACUUUGAAAAAAUUAGAGUGCUCAGAGCGGGCUGUUCAAGCUUGCAUACGAUAAGCAUGGAAUGAUGGAAGAGGGCCUCGUCUACGUCUGUCGGUCUCCGUCUACGGCGAGGCAAUGAUCGAAGGGAGCGGUCGGGGCCACUCGUAUUGCGACGUUAGAGGUGAAAUUCUUGGAUCGUCGCAAGACGAACUGCAGCGAUGGCGUGUGGCAAGCACGUUUUCCUCGAUCAAGAGCGAAAGUCGGAGGUUCGAAGACGAUCAGAUACCGUCGUAGUUCCGACACUUAUGACCGUCCAUGUUGGGGAGGUAUUCCGUCGAAAGACUGUUGCACAAAGUGGCUUCUCAAGAUAACAGACUUUCUGGGU